GCCCAGAGCCCUAGCCCAGCCAAGAGGAUGCCUGCCAAGAUGGCACCCAUAAAAAACAUAAAACAAAUCCUAUUGCCAAAAAAAAAAAAAGGAGGGGGGGGGGGGGGGGGGCUUGAAGGCCCAAACGUGGUGAAACGUCCAAGUACCUCAAAAGUCAAAACUCAAAAGUCAUUCAGCCAUUCUUCAGUUCUGUAGAAUCAAAACCCAAACGCAGCAGUGAAAAAAAAAGAAAGAGAUUGGAGAAAGCUUGGUCUAGGCCGGCCCUGACAAUGGGAGUGGAGAGAAAGAAUGAGAGAGGCGGAGAGCAGGAGCUGAGAGAGAAAAGCAGAGCAAGAAUGAGAAAAAGAAAGAGCCACCAAUGUAUCAUGGGAAGGAAAAACCAACAGAAAAAUAAGAACACCACAGGCAAGAACAAGAUGGAAUCCUCCUCCACUCGGUCAGUAUAAAACGAAUUUCAAUGGUGCAGUGUUUGAAGAAACUAACGAAGCAGGUAUAGGGAUUGUGAUCAGAAACUCUGCUGGUGAAGUAAUGGCGUUGUUGUCCGAGAAAACUCCGCUCCCAUCAUUAGUGGAAGCUGUUGAGAUACUUGCAACUAGACGGGCAGCCAACUUUGUGUAAGAAAUCGGUAUUGCUGACUCAAUUUUUGAGGGUGACUCCCAAUCUAUUGUUUUGGUUCUAAAAAAUGGUGAUAGGUUGAAUUCUGAUAUUGGUCAUCUAGUUAUAGACACUUUGUCUUUUGUAAACACCCUUCGGAGUUGAUCAUUCUCUCACACUUAUAGGCAAGACAAGGCAAUGCAAUAGCACAUGCCUUAACUAGGAGAGCUGGACUUUGUUGUUCGUUUGAAGUUUGGAUGGAGAAUGUUCCUCCAAACAUUUUUAAUAUUUUGCAAGCUGAUUUACCAGCUAACUAAAUAAAGAUCAGUUGUUAGA